CAGUCGCCGCGGGAAUACGAAGGGUGCAAGCGUUACUCGGAAUUACUGGGCGUAAAGCGUGCGUAGGUGGUGGUUUAAGUCCGUUGUGAAAGCCCUGGGCUCAACCUGGGAAUUGCAGUGGAUACUGGGUCACUAGAGUGUGGUAGAGGAUAGUGGAAUUUCCGGUGUAGCAGUGAAAUGCGUAGAGAUCGGAAGGAACAUCUGUGGCGAAGGCGACUAUCUGGGCCAACACUGACACUGAGGCACGAAAGCGUGGGGAGCAAACAGGAUUAGAUACCCCGUAGUCCCUGUCUCUUAUACA
rnacentral:rRNA from 1 species